UGCGUGUAUGCAUUCAUAUAACUGUAGUGAAUGAUGAGUCAGAGGUUUAUUUGAAGAAAGAAAGUAGUGCAAUACUGUUUUGAAUGCUGCCAAACCAAACUCAACUCACAAAACUACAAAUUUAGAUUCUUUAAAAACGACACAGAUUAUGCCUGUUGAAGAAAGAAAGUGCGUCUUCUUCAAAAACAAUAUCUCAUGUCCCCAACCCUACCUUGACCCCCUUUUUUCUUGGCAUUAGUGAGUACCUACUCUGUUGACCGUUCGCUGCAUUAUAGAGGACUUUAUUAGCCUUAGCACCCAGGCCCUAAUUGACAUUUGAUGGAUGUUGCGAUCGUAACUCGGUCUCAGAAUAGAGUACAGACGCUCAGCCGAACCCAGAGAGCCACACAGCAAACCCUGUGAUCCUCAGCUCUCACAUAGGCAGCACAUACCACAGCUCUGCGGCAAAGCUAAGACAGGAGCAGCGAUUCAGAGUCAUGGAUAGACUGAGAGGAAUGGAGAUGAAAGAGUGAAGGAGGGAGAGAAGUAGGAGAGGCUGUUGCUAAUCAGUUUUCUCUCUUUUUUGGGUGCACUAACCUGCAGAGGGCCGCUGGCUGGCAUGGUGGAUCUCAGCGACGUCAGGUCGAUGUCUCGGCCCUGUUCCCCUCUCUCUGUCUUCCCAAGUCCCUGCAUAAUAAGGCCCGAAGCGAGCAAGCAAACCAAGCACUCACACACUCGCACACUCCAGUGUUACCCCCACAGCAGUGAAAAUGCUAAUGCAAGGAUGGCAGUGGUCGUUAUGAAAGGAAAUGACCCUGGACGCCAGGCACCAAGCACCAGGCAAAGGCCAGGGAGGACAGCCGAGGGACAAACAAACGGCUUAUUCACCCCGCUCCCUCCCUCUCUCUCUCUCACUUUGACCACUCUGUCUCUUUCUCCCACUAUUCUCCCCCCUGUACCAAAUCUAGGUUGCAAAAAUGUUCGAAUACAAAAUGAACUAUCAUGCUGAAAACCAGGCAAAUAUUGUCCCAAGUGUUUUCCAUAUUUAAAGUCAGUCUUGUCCCUA